UACGUAGGUGGCGAGCGUUAUCCGGAAUUAUUGGGCGUAAAGGGUGCGUAGGCGGAGAGUUAAGUUUAUGGUAAAAGUGCGGGGCUCAACCCCGUAAAGCCAUAAAUACUGGCUCACUAGAGUACUGGAGAGGGAAGUGGAAUUCCAUGUGUAGCGGUAAAAUGCGUAGAUAUAUGGAGGAACACCGGUGGCGAAGGCGACUUCCUAGACAGAUACUGACGCUCAGGCACGAAAGCGUGGGGAGC
rnacentral:rRNA from 1 species